GACGAACGCUGGCGGCGUGCUUAACACAUGCAAGUCGAACGCAAAGGCCCUGCUUUUGUUGGGUGCUCGAGUGGCGAACGGGAGAGGAACACGAGAGUAACCCGCCCACUACUUUGGGAUAACUUCCGGCAACCGGGGCCAAUACCGGAUAGGUGCUCCUGCUCCAUGGUGGGGGUUGGAAAGAUCGGGCGGUUGGGGAUGGACUCGCGGCUCAUCAGCUUGUUGGUGGGGCAGUGGCUUACCAAGGCUUCGGCGGGUAGCCGGCCUGAGCGGGUGACCGGCCACAUUGGGACUAAGGGACGGCCCAGACUACUACGGGCGGCAGCAGUGCGGAAUAAUGCACAAUGGGCGGCAGCCUGAUGGAGCAACGCCGCGUGCGCGAUGAAAGCCUUCGGGUUGUAAAGCGCUUUCGCCUGUGACGUAGCGUGCGGGACGGGAAUGAGUAGAGGAGCUCCGGCUGACUACGUG
rnacentral:rRNA from 1 species